GGGUCGGACUGGUGGAAACUGCAGAUUGGGAUUAGUCUUCAGAUUAACUCGGCUGGUUAACCAAGGUCGUUACAACACUCAUCAAGGGAAAGAUUUAGAAAAGUUGAUAUGAACCUUGAUUUGAUUGUGAUGAGUGUUUGACAAAUGUUGAAAUGGCUUUGAUGGCAUUUCGGGAUUCAUGAAGCUCUUGUGUCUUUUGCU
rnacentral:lncRNA from 1 species